CUCAGAGCUCCCGGCCGGGUGUGGUGGUGUGGUUUGGUGUUAGUAGUUCUCUUUCUGACAGGAUCGACCGCUGCUGGGCAGGGCUCCUGUCAAUGUGGCUGUGCUCCAGCGGAGGCUGUUGCGUGAGGGCGGUAGCACCUGGACUAUAUGAAUCCUUGCAAAUCAUGUCAGAAGAGUCCUUCUUCCCAAGGUGAUUAUUCAAAGGAUUUUGGAGAUCUGAGUAGAUGACUGCACCAGGAAUGAUCAUAGAGAGAAGCUAUACCUGCAGUUUCACCAACAGAUGCAGAAAGAAUGAAGUGCCUUGACUAUCAUUGUUGCCAUCAGCAAGGAUUAACACACCUGCUAAAAGAUUUGGACUUCUAGGACAUUCUUGACAUCAGCCUGCAAAAUGGCCACUGCUUGGAGGGACACCUGGCCUUUUCCCAGCACCAGCUGGAGAUGUGAAAGCAAAAAUGGAGAACCUCAACAGACUUUCAGGAAAUGAUCUGUGGAAUUGCUUUGAAUGCUGGCAGCAUUGUAUGCAGCUGUGUGUCAGCUCAGAAGGGAACUAUUUUGAAGCCAUUCAUGUCAAACCAGUACAGCACCAAUGGCCUAAGAAGAUGUUGCUGACAACAUAUGCUGUAGUGGAAGUCCUGUAACCACACGUGCAUCACACCUUCUGUCACGCUCCAGCCUGUGACAACUUCUGAAAAAUUUAAGGAGGCUUUUCUAUUAAAACAAAUGUUCACGAAUGUCAGUGUUGUGCCUUCAUAACUUUAAACUAGAAGUUGCUAAACAGUCACUAAGUAAGGUUAUUUAUUUUAGACCCUUGUCACCAGUUUCACUGUGGUUGAACUUAAUCUGACUAUGCAAGUUUGAAUGGGCCAGGCCGGUCAGACUUGGAUUUCAGUGCAAGUUGAAUGGGAUGGAUGGAACUUCUCUGAAGUCAUCGGACGUCAGUCAGUUGGUUUUGUGUUUUACUUUAUCAAUGAAGGUGAAAAGACGGACUUUAGCCUCAACUGGAAUUAUUGGUGUUGCCUGCUUACCUAAUAACUGACAACUUUGAAGCAGGUUUAUAUUGAUUUUGAUUUGGAUUGGGUUUUUUUGUAUUUUCAACUCUUUUCACUUCCAUUACAACUUGAAAUUAUAAGAGUGGAAGAAUUUAAGGAAAAUAUUGAAAGCAUUGUAGUUAGAAAAGCAGUCAAAUUCAUAUGAGGAAACGCCUUAAUCUGUAGUUACAUACAAGCCGAUCAAAUAACGGAUUUAGAAAAUAGUUUUAACAGCCAUUCUCCUGGAUUUAAUACAUGCAAAAUGAAUGGUAGCCACUCUGCAAAAACACUUACUGUCAAGGUUAAAUUAUUGCUUAUAGACUGAACAUAAAGAGACAAUGCCAGAUACACUGAUCUUGAAACUUUGUAUAUUUUUAUGCCUUCUGAAAGAGGCAAUUACUUUCAUAGAAAAAAUAGUUUAGAAGUAUAUGAAGCACACAUUAAGCUACUGAAAGGAACUUCUGUAAUACAUUAAAUACACUGUGGGUAUUACUUGCAAUCAUAAUAGGCACAGUACUUUUUCAGAAAAGAGUGAAACUUUUAAAUGAUUACAAUGUCUUUAAAAGCUGGAAGUAGUUUUUACUUUAUGUAUUUCUGGUAUUGGUGUAUGACAGCUGCUUUUUGUAA